CCGAUCCCCGCCCUCUUCUCCACUUCAUCCUCCAGCUAGGGAUGAUUUCUGCAUCAGAUGCGUGAAUCGGUUAGCAGACCAUGUGUACGUCCUCUUCAAUUUAAUAGCUGACGUUCUCUGGUAUUUCAGCAGUUUCUGUACCAUGUGUGCAUUUAGUGUUGUUUUUUUCUGAAUUUCUGUGUUCAGAUCAGUACAGAAACACCAGAUUAUAUAGUUAUGUUGAAUACCAAAGCUCAUCUCCUCCUAUCUUUAUUUCUAUAGUCAUUCUAAACUGUACAAGGGCAGAGAACUACUUUGUAUCCAAACAACAAUUUAGAAGUGUAAGGAAAUACUGUUGUCUAUAGUCGUUUUAUUGGUGUUUAACAUACAAGAGUAUUUGAUUAACAGGGAGAAUCUUACAUUGCUCCCAAACAGAUCCUAAUAUGGUACUCUUACGCUCAAUCACGCCAUCCUCUCCUGUAGCUUUCUCCGAGGCACAACACGCCAACGUUGUGCAUACAGUGGAUUGUUAAGAAUAUGCUGUCAAUUCUAGGAUGCCAUUGUCAGUGAGGACGAUUUCAAAAAUGAAGGAUGCAUAUUCACCGGUUCCCAGCAAUAUGCUUUGUCAAUCAGGGUAUAUCCAUUAUUUUAAUCAGUUCUUGAUAAAUUGUUUUAAUCAGUAUUUGAUCGAUAUGUACAGGAGUAUGAGUAUCAGUGCUUGGUCAGUUGUUUGCUCCAAGUUUGGGCGUAAACUUGUUUUCGGUUGGAUUGUUUAUAUUUGAGAUGCCUACCACGUGUGGUGGUGGCUUCAGCGGUCUAAGCAUCGGCCAGGCCAAGAUCGGCAGUGGCUGCUCUACUGCAUCAGUUUCAAUGGGGCGUAAGGAUUAUGCUCCUUUUUGCAGUGUUGCAGUUGAAGGGCAUUCACAAGAAUAAUUAUGAGCGCUUAUUUUCUUGUUCCACUCAAUCAUAUAUUUCAUCGGCAUCUACUCCAUUGAACAUCACCAUAUUUAUUGUCCUUGGAUUGACCGGGCCUGAGGAAGCUGAUUGUUGCCUGAGCCUAUAAUUGGAUGCCACCAACUGGGCUUUGUGAAAAUUUCCCUCUCGGAGCUAAGUUUCUCAAUUGUACACUUUUUCUGCAACUAAUGUUGUUACUUAGACAGUCAAUUGGGAGGGGCAAGAUGAUGUUACAAGCUCUGAACUCUGAGCAUGUGCUGAUGUGUAUUUAUUCCCAAUAUUUUGAUGUGUCCGGUAAAAAGUACUCAAAAGGACCAGGAGUAACAAGUUAAUACCCUGCUUGUAUAAAAUGAUUUAUUGAUCAGUUGCUACAUAUAUAUUAGCCCAGACUAUACAUAUGUAUGCAUUGGAAAACAUUUGUACUACCUCCCAGAAAGGGCUAACUCUUUCACAGGAGGUAAAUGUCUGUAAACAUUUCCUAUAUUGGGUGAACUCUUGUUGAAUUAUAGGCUGGUACUAAUGACCACUGAUGUUGGAAAUAAAUAAAUAUGAUGUGU